ensembl:lncRNA
CGGUGUGGGAGCAAUUCAGAUCUCAACUAAGCUAUUUAUAGCAGGCAGCCAUAUGUUUUCAUAGACUAGGAGGCAGAACUGAAGAGCCCAUGUUGGAUCUACAUGGCCAUAUGAUGCAGUUUCAGAAUGUAGAUUAAUUGCAUUAAACUGGAUUAUAUGGCAUUGUAGACUCAUAUAAUCCAGUCCAAGAGAUCCCUCUGACUUAGGCCCCAUCUACACUGCCAUAUAAUCCAGUUGAAGGUGCAUUUUAUGGUCAGUGAAGACUCAUACAUUGCAGUAUUGCAGUUGUGUUUUUUCGCCUAUUGUGUAUAUUUUAUUAUUGGUUUUUGUUGUUGUCCUUUGAUGUUUCAUAUUUUAUCAUCGCCUGUAUUUUGAUUUUGAGGUAUUUUGAGUCCCCUUCGGGGGAGAUGGAGGUGGGAUAUAAAUAAACUUAUUAUUAUUACUAUUAUUAUUAUUAUUAUUAUUAGUAGUAGUAGUAGUAGUAGUAUACCGCAGUGUAGACGGGGCCUAAGUCCUUUAGCAGCUGUGACUUAUUUCUUUUAUUUUUAAAGAAGUUAGAAGGGUGUCAAAAAAUCAACCCCCCUCCCAAAAUAAUGAAUUAAAGCACACACACACACACACACACACAUAUCCAGCAACUGCAGAGAUUCAAUGAUCUGAUCUUGUACAGAGACUCAUCUCCAAAACUGCCUGAAGCUGGAAACUCCUAAAGGAUUAAUCUAAUCACUUGCCAAGCCCAAAAAGCCCUGGGGAGAUGGAAGUGAAAUGUUCCUGAGUCAACAGGCUAAGUUCAAAUCCCCUCUCCUGGAGAGUUUAGCCGUAAUAAAAGUACACUGAAGCUUCUCCUAUGUCUGAAUUAAUGUUCAUGAUUUAUUUAUGACUAGUUUGGGUACCCGACGGUGCCCAGGUUAUUUGAAAAAGGCGUUGUUUGUGUUUGGAUGUUGGGUGAUAUCAGUUUGGUCAUAUGUUAUGCUAUGUCUUAGGAAAAAAAACUCAGUCUUUGCUUUUAUUUUUUAUGAAUGUUCCCAUUAGAAAAUGCACAAGGCUGUGGGUGAACUCCGAUUCCCAAAAGUCUUAUGUCAACCCUCCCAAAGCUCCCCCAGUAUUCACAGUUGGUCAUGUUGGGUCUGUUUGCCAAAUUUGGUCCAGAUCCAUCAUCUGCUGGGUUCAGCAGAUAAGGGCGAACAGCACAGUAAACCCUUCCAAGGGUGGAUCUGGACCAAACCUUGCACAUAGACCCACCAUGACCAACUUUACAUACUGGCAAGUUUUAUUUGGGGGGGGGUGACUCUGGAUGGUGGGAAUUGUAGUUCACCCACAUCCAGAGACCAAUGUGAACUCCACCAACAAUGGAUCUGGAACAAACCAGGCACACAUGCCCAUCAUGACCACCUUUAUAUAUUGGUGGGUUAGGGGCAGUGAACCCUGGAUGAUGAAAAUUAUAGUUCACUCACAAUCAAAGAGCAUUCUGAAACCAAUGAUAGAUCUGGUCCAAACGUGGCACAUAACCCUAACUACUGGUGACAUUUGGGGACAAUGAUAGAUUAUGAUGCAACCCAAAACCAAACAAAGACUAUUUCUAAUAGAUAGCAUUAUAGAAUCUUAAUCCUGGGCAUCGUUGAGUCCCUACUGAAAUAUUAUUUUUGCUCUGAUCUUCCAUUAUUCAGGGAAAGGAAACAGCAAGGACACAUUCUGAAUGCAUUCUAAUAAUUUUGCAAUGGUUUAACUCUAUGCUGGUUGUAUACCCCAUGGCUCUAUCCAUAAGGAGUAAAUAGGAGUGCAAGAGGAUAAAAUGGUUUUUAUGUUAAACCUCUGCUGGAGAGAUUUGGUAUAUGGAUCUUUCUUGUCUUUAUUCAGUGUUUCUCCUCUUGAGAAAGGUUAGGAGGAGAACAAGAUUUCACUAUGGUCCUUUUAAGGGUUUAUACCAAUGGCUCCCUCUACUGUUAUUCACAAAUGCCAUGGAGACUUCUGAAGAAGGGCAGUCAAGAAUGGAAAAGGGAAAACAAGGAAACACACAGAGAGCAAGACAAACUGCUUCAUAGGUGUCCAGAAGCCUUUAUUACAUAAAAACUGAACUGUCUCCAAACAAAAUAAAAAUUAAAAGCCCUGUGCAAUGACCAAACAUCCCCCUGGAGUGAGCUGUGUCACUUUACAGGCAUGUGACAGCCCAAGAAUGCCUCCCUCUGAACCAGAAGAGGCCCUGGCAUUUCCAUAUAAUUAGUCUACAGAGAUGGCAGGAGCCUGAUAAUACUGGAAUCCUCUACUCGUAGGGUCAGAAUAGUGAAUGUGUAGAAGUCGUAAGUACUGAAGGAAGAAACCAUAAGUGGUGGUAGUGUGUGGUGUGUGUGUGUGUGUGAAUGCCUAACUCUCUGGCCUCUAACCGAGCAAGACUGCUGUGGACUGGACUGGCCCUGAGCAUCAUCUGCAUUUCCCAGAAUGUGCCAUCUCUUCGCCUCUUGUGCUCACUCUUCAUUUCAAUAUUUUCCUAUUUUCCCACUACUAAACAUUAUUUUGUGAAUAUUUCAUCUAGCAGUAAGAUAGGACCUUUACUCUGACACUGAACCUCAGGAUGCCAUAUUUUCUUCAGCUUUAAAGAAUAAUGAAUUAUACAACAACUGGUCAUCACCUGCAGAGACAGAAGUAUAUAAAAAUACAUGGCAUCAUAUAGGGAAAAUGCCUGUGUUCUCUGUUUCCCUCAUGGGCUCAUGGAACAUCAAGCCUUGCCUCUUCUGACUGGUAUUUCAGAACUUGCUCAAAACAUGUUUGAAUUUUAUUUUCUGAUGCUGAGACUAAAUAUUAAAAACUAAUAGUAAAAUCUAAUUAAAAUUCAAACACAACUUGUAGCCUGACCCCUGGGAUAUGAUAGCAAAUUUCCACACUGGAUCCCUUAUUUCAUGCAGUUCACAGCCUAAGCAUCACUAGGUCUUCUCUCCCUAAGAAGAAAAGGAGGCACAUUCAUAUGAUGGAAGCAAUGUGGCUGGAUGCAAAACGUGGUAAGGCUUCAGUACAGCAAGGGGUAUUGUGGCUGGAAAGAUUUUUGGGGUAUGAAAGGACAAGAGUGGGGAGCGUUUAUGGGAGAUGAUUCCAAGAAGGAAGCAGUCACCAGCCUACCAUGCUGCUUGGGAGUCAGUUUUAUUUUCUGUACAUUUUUAUCAGGCUCCUGCUGCCCAUUUCUCUUCUCCAGCAGAUCCUAUAGCACCCAGAUGAAGUGAUUAGCUCCAAGUCCUGCCAUAUUUUAGAGAAAGGUUGUAUCAUUUAUUUUUUAAAACCCCCAAACUCAUUAGAAAAUCAGCUCCUGCUGGAAUUAAAGCAAAUCUGCAUGAUCCUGAGGGCUGCAACUUUCACUGGUCAGCAACUCUGCCCAACUACCUGGUAAACCCUGACAAACAACCUAAGGCUUUCCCUGAGGGGUGGUCAGGGAGAGUGUAAGAGAGAGUGGAAAAAGGAAUACUUUUAAAAAAUAAAACCAGAAAUCUUGUGCUGAAUAAUUUGAUAAAGCAUCAGAAUGGCUUUUGUCAAAUAGUACUGUACUCAUUGAAGCUGUGUCACAUUUUGGCCCAUUUUCCCAACCACACUCUUUCACAUUUCUUGAGUGAGUACAAGAAUGUUCCCACUUUCCAAACGCAGAUGUAACAGAGCAAUAAAAUGAGUCAUUAGAUAAAUAUUAUAAAAUUGUCCAAAUCCAACUGGAGUUCCCAGUAGUGAUUCAGUGGGCGGCUUCUUGGAGGGGGAAUUAAACUGUAAGCACAAACAUACUAAAUAAGACACCAAUGUUUACAAGUACACUGGUCCAAGUUCCAGUCCUGGUUUUCCCACCCCUUCCCACCCUCUUCUUAAAAAUCAGGCCAUGAGAACAAAAAUCUUCAUUCCUGACAUGUUAAAGCACAGGUAACAAACAGAUAGAAAAUAUCAGAUGCUGGGGCUUGUUCUCCAUGGAAGGUUCAUUUGGCUUUGUUUUCUUUCCAGAGGGCCCCUUAGAAAUACCUGAGAUGCAGAGGAUGUUCUCUCAUUUGAUCCAUAUCUUGUGCCGGGGCAGCUCUCCAUGCUGGGAUGAGAGCAGGUCCCUCUCUUCCUCCCCUGCCCCUAGGAAAACAUGAGCAAGUG